rnacentral:rRNA from 1 species
CCUACGGGAGGCAGCAGUGAGGAAUAUUGGUCAAUGGGCGCGAGCCUGAACCAGCCACGUAGCGUGAAGGAUGACUGCCCUACGGGUUGUAAACUUCUUUUAUAAAGGAAUAAAGUGAGGCACGUGUGCCUUUUUGUAUGUACUUUAUGAAUAAGGAUCGGCUAACUCCGUGCCAGCAGCCGCGGUAAUACGGAGGAUCCGAGCGUUAUCCGGAUUUAUUGGGUUUAAAGGGAGCGUAGAUUGGUUGUUAAGUCAGUUGUGAAAGUUUGCGGCUCAACCGUAAAAUUGCAAUUGAUACUGGCGGUCUUGAGUACAGUUGAGGUAGGCGGAAUUCGUGGUGUAGCGGUGAAAUGCUUAGAUAUCACGAAGAACUCCGAUGGCGAAGGCAGCUUACUAAACUGCCACUGACAUUGAUGCUCGAAAGUGUGGGUAUCAAACAGGAUUAGAUACCCGGGUAGUC